rnacentral:rRNA from 1 species
CACGGGUGCGUAACGCGUGGGAAUCUGCCCUUGGGUUCGGAAUAACAGCGAGAAAUUGCUGCUAAUACCGGAUGAUGACGUAAGUCCAAAGAUUUAUCGCCCAGGGAUGAGCCCGCGUAGGAUUAGCUAGUUGGUGGGGUAAAGGCCUACCAAGGCGACGAUCCUUAGCUGGUCUGAGAGGAUGAUCAGCCACACUGGGACUGAGACACGGCCCAGACUCCUACGGGAGGCAGCAGUGGGGAAUAUUGGACAAUGGGCGAAAGCCUGAUCCAGCAAUGCCGCGUGAGUGAUGAAGGCCCUAGGGUUGUAAAGCUCUUUUACCCGGGAUGAUAAUGACAGUACCGGGAGAAUAAGCUCCGGCUAACUCCGUGCCAGCAGCCGCGGUAAU